ensembl:lncRNA
CUUUAAUUGUCUUCAUAGAUAGAUCAAAACCUGUUUGGCUAGUGCACGUUAUUCAAGGAUUUGUCCCCUUUUUAGGGGCAAUAUUUAUGCCAAGAGGAUUCCUUUAGUACUAAAGAAAUGUUCAGAAGCUGAAUGGAAGGAAAUUAAUCAGUGAAAAGAAUCAACCCACAAACCCUUUCAACAAAAGAGCAGUAGCUGUUUAGGACACCUGCUGAUAUAAGAGAUCUUCCUACAGUAGAUAAUUAGUUCAUAGAUUGGCUGCUGAUAGCUGUAUGGCCGAAGUAGAUGUUGAAGAAAUUGCUUAAAGGUUUAAAAUGACUCCUCAUUGGAAUCACUUGGAAGAAAUGGACAACACUUGGAAAAUCUGCUUGAUAGCAAUCUGUGGAGGUUUCUUGAUAUGGUACAACUUUGAAGGCAGAACUACUGAUACAGUAACUCACAUGGAACUCUGAUAGAAGCCUCCUGGCCCUAAAUUCUCCAUUUCAUAUACCUGAAAGAGGUCAGACA